CUCCCUCUAGAACUUGCGGGAAAAAAAUCAUUCCAUCUCUCCAUCUCUUCUCCUCUUUCUCUCUUCUUCUUCAAGGUAAAUCCCCAAUUGAAAUUUAACAUCCCUAGCUCUCUCAUUCUCGGCGUUACUUCGAAAAUUGCCCGUCGCCGUCUCCUGAUUCUGCGAUUCAGCGCCGUCGCCCUCUCUCUUCUCUCUCGAAUCUGUCGCCGCCCCUCCCUCUCUCUUCUCUCGCCAGUUGCUCCCCGGAGUUCAGCUGCGCCGCGCGACUGUCGCGGUUCAGCCCGUCGCUUCUGGACUCCCCAAUUCGAGCGCAGGGUUGAUAAUAUGCUCCGAUCCGUCGUCGUUUGGAGCUCAGGUAUCUGCAAAAGAUGCUGAGCAACGCUAGUCCAAUUCCAAGGUAGUAUGCCAGCUAUGCUUCUCUGGUGAAAAUGCAGGAAGUGAAAGGGCAAGAAAGAUGCUAUCUUGCAAAAGUUGUGGGAAGAAGUAUCACCGGAGCUGUCUGAAAGCUUGGUCUCGAAAUAGAGAUCUUUUUCACUGGAGUUCUUGGACUUGCCCCUCUUGUCGAAUUUGUGAGAUACGGAAGUUUGGGGUUGUGGAUGAAGCAAAUGGGAUAAAAAGUGGUCGCGUGGCGUGGAGAGGUACUUGGCCCUUUUAGGCAGGCAUGAGAGGCUCACAUUCUAAAGAAACAAUUUCAAAUAUGUUUAGCACUUUUGGAAUAGAUUAGCACUUUAUAAUUUUUAGUACUAGUAUUGUUUGUGUAGUUUAAGUUAAAGAUGACCAACACUUAAUAUUGUUUAGUUUGUGUGUUCAAACACGUUACAUUUUUGUGUAAAAUAUGAUAGUUUGAAUAUUAUUCAAAUAGUUGUCAUUUUA